rnacentral:rRNA from 1 species
UAUGUGAUCGUCUCUCGCAUAUCAAUAAGCGGAGGAAAAGAAACUAACAAGGAUUCCCUUAGUAACGGCGAGUGAAGCGGGAAGAGCUCAAAUUUGAAAUCUUCAAGGUUUUACCUUGACGAAUUGUAGUUUAAAGAAGUGUUUUCUGUUGAAGUUUUGGUAAAAGUUCUUUGGAAUAGGACAUCAUAGAGGGUGAGAAUCCCGUAUUUGACCAUUAUUUUCAGCUGUGUGAUACACUUUCAAAGAGUCGGAUUGUUUGGGAAUGCAGUCCAAAAUGGGUGGUAAAUUUCAUCUAAAGCUAAAUAUUGGCGAGAGACCGAUAGCGAACAAGUACCGUGAGGGAAAGAUGAAAAGAACUUUGAAAAGAGAGUUAAACAGUACGUGAAAUUGUCAAAAGGGAAGCGUUUGACACCAGUGUUGUUUUCUCGAAAAUCAAUUAAAAAGAGUUAGAUUUUGUUGUGUAUUGACCUUAACAGCUUGCAUUUCAAUUUUCUUGCUUUUUUAAUGCACUUUUCGUUUAACAAGUCAACAUCAGUUUCUUUUGUUGUAAAAAGGUCAUUGGAAGGUGGCUUUCUUUUCGGAGAAAGUGUUUAUAGCCUUUGACUCCUGCAAUCGGAGAGACUGAGGUCUGCAGCGUAGAUCCUUCGGGGUUAGAUACAUUUGUGCUAAGUUAUAGCUUUUUAUAGACAACUUGUUGACUAUGAUUAGUCUUGUAGCUUACUCGCUUAUGCUAUUUUACCUACGCUUAGGAUGUUGAAGAUGUAGCACAUCAU